GAUGGUGAAAGAUGGUGAAACGUGAUUACAGCUAAUUUGUAAUCAGUGGGUCGGGGGUUCGAUUCCUCUCGCCAGCACCA
rnacentral:tRNA from 1 species